UUCUCCAUUGUGCGUAGGCCCUAAUACGACAUUUUCAUAAAAAAAGAGGGCAUAAUGUUGGUAAUAACAAAAAUCCUUACAACACAAUUUAAUUUCUGUGAAUUGAUGAUACUAUGUUCAAGAUUGGAGAUGAAAUGCUUCUUCAAAAAAUCAAGGAUCAAUUUUCUUUGAUAAUUUAUUCCAAAUUAAAAAUCUAAAUUAUCUUGGAAGUGCCCGAGUGUCAAUGUGGUCAUUUAGCGAUGACUUAUACCAGCCUGAUCACCCUUGAUGAUGAUCUGAAUCGAAUGGAUAGGAAUCCUUCAUAGAAGGAGUACGAGCUUGUCAGAAUCCAAAUAAAUCUUUCACAGCCAUGGUUAUCGGAUGCGAAAGCGACAUGAGAUUCCUCUAUUGCGCUUCGUGUGUAUCAGCGAUUUUAGAUGACUGAUGGAUAUAUCCAAGUGCUAUAGACUAUGUUUUACAAAGCAUUUUUACGAUGACGAUAUUGGGCAAGGAUAAGGUCUCGAAUCUCAUGGAGGCUCCAUGUUUUGUGCCGUGGCGAAUUUAUUUUUAAUGAGAAAAUUAAUGUAUCAAACAUAUUGGUGAAAUUUGACAACACUUGAUCUGAUCCUUUACACACAUUUAGGUAAAUGUAUAAAAUUUACAUUACAAUUUUAUUCUGUAAUAUAAUUUACAGAUCU